rnacentral:piRNA from 1 species
UGCAAAUUGCCCUUUGUAACUCUGUGA